rnacentral:rRNA from 1 species
UACAGAGGGUGCAAGCGUUGUUCGGAAUUAUUGGGCUUAAAGGGCUCGUAGGUGGCCAACUAAGUCAGACGUGAAAUCCCUCGGCUUAACCGGGGAACUGCGUCUGAUACUGGAUGGCUUGAGUUUGGGAGAGGGACGCGGAAUUCCCGGUGUAGUGGUGAAAUGCGUAGAUAUCGGGAGGAACACCAGUGGCGAAGGCGGCUUUCUGGCCUGCUCUUGACGCUGAGGCGCGAAAGCUAGGGUA